AAUAGUUUCGACUUAGCUGAGUACUAAAUAUGACUAUGAAUAUGCGCCUAUAUUUUUAGUACACAGAAAAAGUGCCAGCAAGUGGAACCAGGCAGGCGAGCGGGCUUUAUUGGAAAUAUGGGGAGAGAAGAUGAGCAAGUUGCGUGGCUGUAGAAAAAAUAGCCACAUACUUUAGGAAAUGGCUGCGGUGCUCGAAAGCCACGGAAUCCGUUACACGGUGGGGGAAGUCAAGACAAAAAUGCACAACUUGAGCGCCCGAUAUCGAUCAGAGAAACAAAAACAGGGAACAACAGGUGGAUCACCGUCAGAGUUGGACCUUUUUAAAGACAUGCGGGCUUUGUUGGCUCCCUAUAAGAGCUAUCACCCAAAAGGUUUAGAGAUGGAUUAAUAAUCUAAAUUCUUCAAUUAUAUCCGCACCGUUGUCGCCAAUUUCUGAUCCAUUUCCAUCACCGUCCAUAUCAGUUACUUCGCCGUUCAGGUCACCUUCCAUAGCCACACCACUGCCAUCGCCCUCCAUGACAAUAGGUUCACCGCUGCCAUUACCAUCCGCAUCUUCGGAUUCACCAGUUCCGGCAAAAGCGUCCGCCACUACAAGAAGAAAAGAAGGAUUGGCACAUUUUUUUUAAAUUCUAGAAAAUAAUAUACAAAAUAUUCAUUUUGAAAUUAAGAAUAAGUAAAAAAGAGUUAUAGCAAUUGAAGAAGAAAAAAAAGGGAUUUUGAAAGCAUAUGUUGAAAAGGAGGCUGAAGUGCAAUGAAGCGUAUUCUUGUUUUCGCACGACUCGAAAAUCAAGAAAUUUUCCUUUCAUU